CCUGUUUGGCCAGAAGGAGGAGGGACAGGAGGAAAGAGGAUUAAGAAGAACGAGUUUCGGGUGGGGAGUAUCUACAAGAGAAGAUGAGAAAGGUUGAUGAAGGCUCUUACUCCACUCUUAGGUCUUCUAAGCUAUAUUUCAGAGUGGCAACGAGAUUUCUAGUUCCUGAAUCACUGCUGGAUCAUGUAAUUUUCCUUCCUAAGAGAGGAUCUUUUUUCAAACUUUUGGCUAAACUGAAAGAAAAAAAAAAAAAAAGGCAUUCGGAAGACUCUGUGUGAUACCUCAGUCUGUGCUUAAAACAAGAGAUUUAAAGGCUUAAGUCCAGCGCAAGCACUUUUCGAAAUCAGAAGGUGAUUACUACCAAAAAGAGCUGUGAUAACAAAGGAACACUAUCACUAAGAGUCGUUCAGCACUGAACACAAAGCAUUUCUUGAGCUCCAAAGCACAGGCCAGGCACUGAAGAUAUGGUGAAUUCAAGCCUGAAAGGAAAAUGAGACAUGGUCUGUCCUUGACAAACUCGGUUGAGUGAUUUCCCAGGCUAAAAAUGAGAAACAAAUAACUGCAAUGUGAUCGACCAUUCCACUCUUUCUUCAAAAAACUUAUCCACAAUUAGCAUUAUUUUCUCUUUGUAAAGUUUUCCUUAAUAUUUUGUGAAUACUUUGGAUUACCCCUAUCACACAAUAAAGGCAUAAUCAUUAAAGAAAAA
ensembl:lncRNA